UCUUAGGUAGUAUGGUGGUUAGUAUUCGCGCCUGUCAAGCUAAAAGUUUAACUCAAGGUUUAAGCGCACCCGAGACCGGGGUUCAAUUCCCCGCCUGAGAG
rfam:Sphaerobolus stellatus SS14 unplaced genomic scaffold SPHSTscaffold_51, whole genome shotgun sequence.